UACGUAGGGGCAAGCGUUGUCCGGAUUUAUUGGGCGUAAAGCGCGUGUAGGCGGUCUUCUAAGUCUGAUGUGAAAGCCCUGGCUCAACCCAGGAAGUGCAUUGGAUACUGGAAGGCUUGAAUACGGAGAGGUAGUGGAAUUCCUAGUGUAGGAGUGAAAUCCGUAGAUAUUAGGAGGAACACCGGUGGCGAAGGCGGCUACCUGGACCGAUAUUGACGCUGAGACGCGAAAGC
rnacentral:rRNA from 1 species